UGCCCUUAGAAAUGAUUAAAGGUGGGAUUUUAUGUGUAUGUUACUAUGUAGGAAAUGGACCUCUGUGAUCCAUCUUCAGCAUGGUCAGCUUUUGAUGGAAUUGGCUGAAUUUCCCCAGGGCAAACAGAAAGAAGGGAGGAGGGAAGAGGAUACAGGAACAAAGAACUGUGCUUGUGGGCCAGCAUCAU